CCCAAACUGCCCGGAGCCUGAAGGGGAGGCUGAGAUUGUUCUGGGAUGCAGACAGCUUUUUUAUAAGUCUGUCACAUAGAAGAGAAGACGAAGAGAAGAUUCUGUUCUGAAUUUCUGGCACAGGAUCACCAUGGGUGACUCAGAGACCUGAAUGAGGCUGGAGGGCAUAAAAGAGAGCCUCUUCACACUUCAUCACUUACAAGCUCCUGGGAAAUCAGUGACCGUUUGGAGAAGGAGAGAAGAUGCCUUCCCAGACGUUGGUAGUCACCUUGGCGGUACUGUUGGAAGCUUGCUGCAUUAAUGCUUAUCCUGUCUACCCUGAAAGCAAUGGUGUCCAAGGAAAUAAAAAUGCUCUCCAGGAAGAUGUCCCUGCCCGCCUGGUGGAAGACCUCAAGACAGUUCUCUGGAAGAUAGCGGCAGUGAGUGAGCUCCAGAGCCAGGGAUUUACCCAGGCAGACCAGGUCCCUCAACCCAACAAGAGAGCUUGCUUC
rnacentral:lncRNA from 1 species